rnacentral:rRNA from 1 species
GUGAGGAAUAUUGGACAAUGGGCGCAAGCCUGAUCCAGCCAUGCCGCGUGCAGGAAGACGCAUCUAUGGUGUGUAAACUGCUUUUGUACGGGAAGAAACGCUCCCUCGUGAGGGAGCUUGACGGUACCGUAAGAAUAAGGAUCGGCUAACUCCGUGCCAGCAGCCGCGGUAAUACGGAGGAUCCAAGCGUUAUCCGGAAUCAUUGGGUUUAAAGGGUCCGUAGGCGGUUUAAUAAGUCAGUGGUGAAAGCCCAUCGCUCAACGAUGGAACGGCCAUUGAUACUGUUAGACUUGAAUUACAAGGAAGUAACUAGAAUAUGUAGUGUAGCGGUGAAAUGCUUAGAUAUUACAUGGAAUACCAAUUGCGAAGGCAGGUUACUACUUGUGGAUUGACGCUGAUGGACGAAAGCGUGGGGAGCGAACAGGAUUAGAUACCCUGGUAGUCC